rnacentral:rRNA from 1 species
GCAGCCUGCAACUCGGCUGCAUGAAGCUGGAAUCGCUAGUAAUCGCGGAUCAGAAUGCCGCGGUGAAUACGUUCCCGGGUCUUGUACACACCGCCCGUCACACCAUGGGAGUCGGGAAUGCCCGAAGUCAGUGACCCAACCGAAAGGGGGGANCUGCCGAAGGCAGGCCUGGUAACUGGGGUGAAGUCGUAACAAGGUACC